rnacentral:rRNA from 1 species
CCCUUAGAUGUUCUGGGCCGCACGCGCGCUACACUGAUGCAUUCAACGAGUCUAAAACCUGCUCUGAUAGGGGUGGGUAAUCUUUUGAAUGUGCAUCGUGAUUGGGAUAGAUGAUUGCAAUUUUUCAUCUUCAACGAGGAAUGCCUAGUAAACGCAAGUCAUCAGCUUGCAUUGAUUACGUCCCUGCCCUUUGUACACACCGCCCGUCGCUCCUACCGAUUGAAUGAUCCUAUGAAUAUCAUGGAUUGAGGAUGCAAGUAGGUUAGCCUAUCUUCAUCUUCGAGAAGUGAAGUAAAUCUUAUCAUUUAGAGGAAGGAGAAGUCGUAACA